rnacentral:rRNA from 1 species
AUUGAACGCUGGCGGCAUGCUUUACACAUGCAAGUCGAACGGUAACAGGCCGCAAGGUGCUGACGAGUGGCGAACGGGUGAGUAAUGCAUCGGAACGUGCCCAGUCGUGGGGGAUAACGCAGCGAAAGCUGUGCUAAUACCGCAUACGAUCUAUGGAUGAAAGCGGGGGACCGUAAGGCCUCGCGCGAUUGGAUCGGCCGAUGUCAGAUUAGGUAGUUGGUGGGGUAAAGGCCCACCAAGCCAACGAUCUGUAGCUGGUCUGAGAGGACGACCAGCCACACUGGGACUGAGACACGGCCCAGACUCCUACGGGAGGCAGCAGUGGGGAAUUUUGGACAAUGGGCGCAAGCCUGAUCCAGCAAUGCCGCGUGCAGGAAGAAGGCCUUCGGGUUGUAAACUGCUUUUGUACGGAACGAAACGGUCUGGGUUAAUACCCUGGGCUAAUGACGGUACCGUAAGAAUAAGCACCGGCUAACUACGUGCCAGCCGCCGCGGUAA